AAUGUUUAAAGAGAAGGUUCAAGUUUCUUUCUGCACUAAAGAUCAUUAUGGGAUGGGCUCCUAAUAGGCCCAACCUAGAGAAAAAUCUGAGUUAUUGUUUGGUCAAAGAGGUUUACACAGAAGCCAGCUCUGAAUUACUUCUAAUGAGAAGAGCAAGGCUCCUGUUUUCACUUGUCAUUUAUCUUCUCUUGCCUUACUCUUUUCUCCUAUUUUGCUUUUUCUUAUCUCUUUCAAAAUUUUUCUCUCCUUCUUGAUGCAAAGCUAGAAGGAAAGGAAACUUUCCUUUUCUGUGCAUUUUCCCAUCCUAUUUCUCUUCUUUCUGUCUCUACAUUAAGAGAGCACAAAUCAUUUACAGCUUGGUCCACUCAGCCUGAAUCUUUUCCACUUGAUUCACAAACUUCUAUUUCUUCUCCUUUGAACCCCUGAUUUGCUCCCUAUGUCCCUCAUGGAGCGUGUAACCACCCAAAGUUUGGCCUAGGGGUAAGGCCAGGAAGCACCAGCUACUUGACAGUAAAGUCGCUGGUCCUACGUGUGGGCUGUAGGGGGCGAUGCAGUGUAAGGUCCUGGUACAGGAGGAGCAGCAGUCUUGCUCCCCACAGAGCUUUGAGGAGCUGGACCAAAAGUGUGCUCCACAGAGAGAAGAUACCGGUGUCGGGAAGCACCAGUGCCCUGAGGAAGGGCCAUUUCUAGAAGCCCCGUGCUGACACAGGAGUGCUGGUUCCUCCUCAAGAGCCCACUCUCUGGGGUGGGGCAAUAUCUCCAGCAGAGGUGGACUGGAAAGGACCCCCUCAACCCCGCCCGCCGUAAGCUUUGCUGGAGCCAUGGCCUCUGCACGCAUCUCGACGCUUGCGAUGCUCUUCACAUUGAGUGGGCUGAGAGCUCAGUUGGUGACUCAGCCAGAAGAUCAAGUCACGGUCGCUGAAGGAAAUCCUCUGACUGUGAAAUGCACCUAUUCAGUCUCUGGAAACCCUUAUCUUUUUUGGAGAAAAGAACUCAAACAACAUACCACUAUCUUUUCCACAUUAAUAAAUGUCAUCAAUACUCCUGAUGAACUUCCUCCAUCUACAUCUACUCUGAGGAAAAAGACAAUGAAAUGAAGGAAAUAAGGAACAAAAGUGGAGACAGAGGAAGUGGGAAAAAGGCAAGAAAAUGCUGGAGGAAAAAGGAGAAACAUUUUGUGUGGACUUCAAAAUAUGGCCCUCAGCACAUGUUCACAGCAAAGAAUCAGCUGUGUAGGUCUUUGGGAUGUAAA